CCCUUAGAUGUCCGGGGCCGCACGCGCGCUACAAUGGAUGAAUCAACGCGUCAUCCUGGCCCGAAAGGGUUGGGGAACCGCUGAACCUCAUCCGUGGUUGGGAUUGGGGUUUGUAAUUAUUCCCCAUGAACUAGGAAUUCCCAGUAAGCGCGAGUCAUAAGCUCGCGUUGAUUACGUCCCUGCCCUUUUUACACACCGCCCGUCGCUACUACCGAUUGGAUGGUUUAGUGAGAUCCUCGGAUUGGUCACGGCACGGUGGCAACACUGCGUCGGUGUGCCGAGAAGACGAUCAAACUUGAUCAUCUAGAGGAAGUAAAAGUCGUAACA
rnacentral:rRNA from 1 species